UACGAAGGGGGCUAGCGUUGUUCGGAAUUACUGGGCGUAAAGCGCGUGUAGGCGGGUCUUUAAGUCAGGGGUGAAAUGCCAAGGCUCAACCUUGGAACUGCCUUUGAUACUGGAGACCUUGAGUCCGGGAGAGGUGAGUGGAAUUGCGAGUGUAGAGGUGAAAUUCGUAGAUAUUCGCAAGAACACCAGUGGCGAAGGCGGCUCACUGGCCCGGAACUGACGCUGAGGUGCGAAAGCGUGGGGAGCAAACAGG
rnacentral:rRNA from 1 species